CGGCGGACGGGUGAGUAACACGUGGAUAACCUACCUAUAAGACUGGGAUAACUUCGGGAAACCGGAGCUAAUACCGGAUAAUAUAUUGAACCGCAUGGUUCAAUAGUGAAAGACGGUUUUGCUGUCACUUAUAGAUGGAUCCGCGCCGCAUUAGCUAGUUGUAAGGUAACGGCUUACCAAGGCAACGAUGCGUAGUCGACCUGAGAGGGUGAUCGGCCACACUGGAACUGAGACACGGUCCAGACUCCUACGGGAGGCAGCAGUC
rnacentral:rRNA from 1 species